rnacentral:rRNA from 1 species
AACGAACGCUGGCGGCAGGCUUAACACAUGCAAGUCGAGCGCCCCGCAAGGGGAGCGGCAGACGGGUGAGUAACGCGUGGGAACGUACCUUUUGGUUCGGAACAACUCCGGGAAACUGGAGCUAAUACCGGAUAAGCCCUAACGGGGAAAGAUUUAUCGCCGAAAGAUCGGCCCGCGUCUGAUUAGCUAGUUGGUGAGGUAAUGGCACACCAAGGCGACGAUCAGUAGCUGGUCUGAGAGGAUGAUCAGCCACACUGGGACUGAGACACGGCCCAGACUCCUACGGGAGGCAGCAGUGGGGAAUAUUGGACAAUGGGCGCAAGCCUGAUCCAGCCAUGCCGCGUGAGUGAUGAAGGCCUUAGGGUUGUAAAGCUCUUUUGUCCGGGAAGAUAAUGACUGUACCGGAAGAAUAAGCCCCGGCUAACUUCGUG